CCCUCGGGAACUGAGGUUAAUAUCUGAUAGGAGAUUUAUACUGGAAAGAUUAAUCUUUAAAAUUCGAGCCUAAGGAUGGGGCUGCGGUGGAUUAGGUUGUUGGCGGGGUAAUAGCCCACCAAGCCUUUGAUCCAUAGGGGCUCUUAGCGGAGAAGCCCCGAGAGGGAAUCUGAGACACUAUUCCCAGCCCUACGGGGUGCAGCAGUUAGGAAUAUUCUGCAAUGCGCGUAAGCGUGACAGAUUGAGUCAGAGUGCGCUUCAAUUUGGAGUGCUUUUGCUAAAUGUAAAAAGUUUGGCGAAUAAGGACUGGGUAAGACGAGUGCCAGCCGCCGCGGUAAUACUCGCGGUCCAAGUCGCAGCCAUUUUUAUUGGGUCUAAAACAUCCGUAGCUUGCUUGGUGAGUUCCUUGUGAAAUUCUAUAUCUCAAAUAUGGAGCGUGCAGGGAGUACUGCCAAGCUAGAGACUGGAAGACGUAACGAGUACGUUUGGAGUAGCGGUAAAAUGUGUUAAUCCCGGACGGACUAACAAUAGCGAAGGCACGUUACGAGGACAGUUCUGACAGUAAGGGAUGAAGGCUAGGGGCGCAAAACGGAUUAGAUACCCGUGUAGUCCUAGCAGUAAACACUGCACACUAAACAUUAGUACCUCCUCGAGAGGUAUUGGUGCUGAAGGGAAGCCGAAGAGUGUGCUACCUGGGAAGUAUAGUCGCAAGGCCGAAACUUAAAGGAAUU
rnacentral:rRNA from 1 species